ensembl:misc_RNA 7SK 7SK RNA
GAAUGUGAGGGCCAUCUAGCUGCGACAUCUGUCACCCCAUUGAUCGCCAGGGUUGAUUCGGCUGAUCUGGCUGGCUAGGUGGGUGUCCCCUUCCUCCCUCACCACUCCAUGUGCGUCCCUCCCAAAGCUGAGGACUUGGUUGAAGAAGACGACCAUGCCCGAUAGAGAAGGACCAGUCUUCGGUCAAGGGUAUAGGAGCAGCUGCGCUCCCCUGCUAGAGCCUCCAAACAAGCUCUCAAGAAAUUCCAGGUUCUAUUGUAUUGGGGAUGGAAAAGUCCCAGCACAAAUCACAAUAGUACCAGAGACUGGUGUUCCUAAAGAGCCCCAGAGU